CCUACGGGGGGCUGCAGUGGGGAAUAUUGGACAAUGGGCGAAAGCCUGAUCCAGCCAUGCCGCGUGUGUGAAGAAGGCCUUCGGGUUGUAAAGCACUUUCAGUGGGGAAGAAAGCCUUGGGGCUAAUACCCUCGAGGAAGGACAUCACCCACAGAAGAAGCACCGGCUAACUCCGUGCCAGCAGCCGCGGUAAUACGGAGGGUGCGAGCGUUAAUCGGAAUUACUGGGCGUAAAGCGCGCGUAGGCGGUCUGAUAAGCCGGUUGUGAAAGCCCCGGGCUCAACCUGGGAACGGCAUCCGGAACUGUCAGGCUAGAGUGCAGGAGAGGAAGGUAGAAUUCCCGGUGUAGCGGUGAAAUGCGUAGAGAUCGGGAGGAAUACCAGUGGCGAAGGCGGCCUUCUGGACUGACACUGACGCUGAGGUGCGAAAGCGUGGGUAGCAAACAGGAUUAGAUACCCUAGUGUC
rnacentral:rRNA from 1 species